rnacentral:rRNA from 1 species
AAACUGUAGAGUUUGAUCCUGGCUCAGAUUGAACGCUAGCGGCAUGCCUUACACAUGCAAGUCGAACGGCAGCACGGGGGCAACCCUGGUGGCGAGUGGCGAACGGGUGAGUAAUGCAUCGGAACGUGCCCAUUGAUGGGGGAUAACUGCGCGAAAGCGUUGCUAAUACCGCAUACGACCUACGGGUGAAAGCAGGGGACCGCAAGGCCUUGCGUCGAUGGAGCGGCCGAUGUCGGAUUAGCUAGUUGGUGAGGUAAAGGCUCACCAAGGCGACGAUCCGUAG